GACAGAUUGUAUGUGGAAUGUGAGAGAAAAAGAGUCAGGGAUGACCUGGCCUGUUUUUUGGCCUGAGCAGCUGAAAGGACAGGGUCACCAUUUCUUGAAAUGAAAAGACUGUGAGAAGAGUACAUGUGGAGGGGGAGGAAUGAAGACAUUAGUUCUGGGGAUGUAAAGUCUGACACGCCUAUUAGGCAUUUGGGAUGGUUAGGAGGCAGUUGCUUAUCUGAGCAUGGCAUCAGGGGAGACCUCCAGGCCGGAGAUACAAAUCCGCAAGCCAUCAACAAAGAGGUGGAAUUUAACAUGCUGGGACUGAUUGAGAUUAGCUAAGCAGUGGAUUCAGAUGAAGAGGAAAAGACAUCUGGAGAACUUAACCGUGAGGCAUAUCAACACACAGACAUCAUCAACAAGAAGAGAAACUGGCAAACAACAAGAACAACAACAAAAGAAAACAAUACAAGAUGAAAACCAAAACCAACCAACCCAACAAAAACCAGCUGAGAAUGAAGGGGCUGUGAAAUAGGAAAAGAACUAAGAAGUCUUCUGCACUAAAAGACAGUGGAGCAGUACCUGAAAAUAUCCUAGGGGAAUGAUUUUCAAACUGGAAUUCUCCAUCUGGCCAACGUGUCAACUGAGCGUGAGGAUGAUCUGCCAGGGAGUUGACCGCUUAAGAGGACAUCAUGAAACCUAGCAAAUAGGAGGGCAGAGGGAAUUCCUGGGAAUCAUCCCAGGGAAGGGCCAGAAAUCUCUGGGAGAAAGAUGCCGGCAUUGGACAGAAUCGAGAAGCCUCAGCCAGCCCUGGUUUCCUCCCAAGGUGAAACAGAUGGGUCUUUCUGUGCAUGAAAUAUCUCUGGAAGACACCGUUAACAAUUGCUCUGGGAAGGGAAACCGAGUGAUUACAGGGCAGGGAUGAGGUGGAAACUUACUUUCCACAUACAACUCUCUGUAGCUUUUUAUUCUGUCCAGUGUAUCUGCUAUAGAUAAUACAUAAAUUUAAGUAAUAAACAUUUUCUUUAAAAUUAAGUCUUUCUUGUGUCUCAACUCUAGAAAUUCAUUCUACUGUUGAUGGCCAUUUGGAUUGUUCCCAGUUUUGGGUGAUUACAAAUAAAGCUUCUGUGAAUAAC